ensembl:lncRNA transmembrane protein 18
GGGCGGGGCGGGGAAGACGAAAAGGUGGUGGUGAGGAAGGGCCUUUCCGGAGGCGAUGCCGUCUGCAUUCUCAGUCAGCAAUUUCCCCGUCAGCAUCCCCGCCGUGAUCACGCAGACGGACUGGACGGAGCCCUGGCUCGUGGGGCUGGCUGCCUUCCACGUGCUUUGCCUGCUGCUCACCUGCCUCUCAUCCCGGAGGUACAAGCUACAGGUGGGGCACUUCCUGUGCCUGGUGACCUUAGUCUACUGCGCGGAGUACAUCAAUGAAGUGGCGGCGGUGAACUGGAGGUGAACGGCCCCGGGCACGUGGACCUUGUGUGAGACCGUCCCCAUCAGCAGCAGAACACACCCAGGAAGCCCCCAGCUCUCGCUUAUAAAGCAGCCCCAGCCCCGUCCACAUCCCAGCCUCCUUCACGAUGAGCCUUGGACGGUGGCCACCGUCGGCCCUGGAGGCCCCCGAACAGAAGCGCUCUUGUCCGUGACGGGGAGACCGAGAUCCACCCGCGAUUUACUUGGUCCUGAAAACACUGGUCCCUGGUUUCCGGGACACUGGCCAUUCUGUCCUCGCCUGCGUGUCCUUUCCUGCUCACACACCUGGGCAAACCACUCCAUGUCCAGUUGUUCUCGAAGUACCAGUAUUUUGACUCGAGGGGCAUGUUCAUCUCCAUAGUGUUCUCGGCGCCCGUGCUACUGAACGCCCUGGCCAUCGUGGUCCUGUGGGUGUGCAAGGCCCUGACCGUGAUGACCGACCUGAGGGCCCUGCAGCAGAGGAGGAGGGCCAGGGGCAGGCCCGGGAGGAGUGACGCCUCGGAUCCGGCCUCGCGCGCUCCUGGACUGCACUUAGACCAGCCUUUAGGACAGAGUUUGCCGCACGUCCACCAGGGCACUCGCCGGGCCUGCAGGGGGUCCCGUCUCUCCAGUUAAGUUGUAAGCAAACGGAACCACGCACGUCGCCACACGUCCACGGGACUCCUGUGACUGUGUGAACUACCAGACAUCCGUCCACAUGGGGACGGUGACUGAGUGAGGGACAGUGCCAUGCACGCGUGGGCACCUCCGUCACCCCCAUCAACUCGCAUCACCUCCAUCACCCCUAUCACGCCCGUCACCUCCAUCACCCCUGUUACCUCCAUCAUCCCCUGUCACCUCCACCCCCAUCACCUCCAUCACUCCUGUCACCUCCGUCACCCCGUCACCCCUGUCAACCCCCAUCACCCCCGUCACCUCCAUCACCCCGUCACCCCUGUCACCUCCAUCACCCCUGUUACCUCCAUCACUUCCUGUCACCUCCAUCACCCCCUGUCAACCCCCAUCACCCCUGUCACCUCCUAUCACCUCUAUCACCCCUGUCACCCCCAUCACCUCCAUCACCCCCUGUCACAUCCGUCACCCUGGUCUGAUCUGCAUAGCGGUGGCCUCUCCAUGUGGUGCUGCCACAGGACAACACGAGGGGCUGCCUUUCCUUUCAUCCAGUUAGAGAUGUGACGACCCUCGGAGGCCCUGGGUCGGAAUCCACAGAAGCAGUGGCUGGAUGAGCCCCUUGAGUUGUCUUUAGGAAGGAAAGUUGCCAGUAGAAACAGUCAACAUUCACCUGUUUCAACUAACAGAUUUUUUUAUGGCAAAUACAAAGAUUGAUUGU